AUUGAACGCUGGCGGCAGGCCUAACACAUGCAAGUCGAACGCGUGGUGGACGGGUGAGUAAUGUCUGGGAAAUUGCCCGAUGGAGGGGGAUAACUACUGGAAAAUGUCGAUAAUACCGUAUACCAUCGGAUGUGCCCAUACGGGAUUGGCUAUUAGGUGGGGUAACGCCUCACCUAGGCGACGAUCCCUAGCGGGUCUGAGAGUAUGACCAGCCACACUGUAACUGAGACACGGUCCAGACGCCGAAGGGAGGAAGCAGUGGGGAAUAUUGCAAAAGGGGCGCAAGACUGAUGCACCCAUGCCGCGUGUGUGAAGAAGGCCUUCGGGUUGUAAAGUACUUUCAGCGAGGAGGCGGUACUCGCAGAAGAAGCACCGGCGAACUCCGUGCCAGCAGCCGCGGUAAUUC
rnacentral:rRNA from 1 species